UGUUUUAUAGUUUAUAUAAAUAAAAUAUUAAGUUGCAAAUUUAAAGAAAUUUUUAAUAUUAAAACAU
rnacentral:tRNA from 1 species